CCAUCGGUGGUUCAGUGGUAGAGUGCUCGCCUGCCACGCGGGCGGCCCGGGUUCGAUUCCGAUUCCCGGCCGACGCA
rnacentral:tRNA from 1 species